AAACAAAUCAAGAAUGGAGGAAAAGCAUAAUUCGGAUGCUAGGUAUUAUAUACAAUACCGGGGGACGAUCAAGCUCAACGAAGAACCGAACACGAUCAAGUUCAAGCUUCCGCAUAUUAUUACGUUGUCGUUUUGAACGACGAAUUCAAUCACAUUUUGUUGUAUUGUUUUAAUGCUAAGUAAAGUUUAAAUAAACCCA